UCAUUCCUUUGUACCAAUGGAAUUACGUUGGAAUAGUGUUCCAUUGUUUGGAUAUACUGUACUGUAUUUAUCAUUCACCAGUUGAUGGAUAUUUGGGCUGUUUCCACCUUUUGGCUGGUUUGAAUAGUGCUGCUCUGAACAUUCCUGGAUGCAGCCUCAAGACCAUGCUCAGUGCCAUGUUCACUGGAGUGGGAAGCUGAUAUUCACUCUGCGGUGAGUCAACUUUCAACCGUCCUCCUGUGGAUUGUAUGGAAUAUUUGUCAUCUCAGACUGGCUUUCUCUUGGUCCAGACUUUCAAGAAAUGCCAGUGAAAGACCACAGGCACCACUAAAAGCCACCUGAAUGAGGGGAUGUUAUAGGUUCAAGAUCUGUUACAGAAGAAACCCAUUUUAGGAACUCCAUGGAACCUGGCUUCCAUCGAAGCUCUGACUCACUAGAGAUUUUGGCCACGUAGAAACUCUUGAUGCAAAGUUUGGACCAAUGUGACUGCAUGAAGGAUUUCCUGCAUUCAAGGUCUGGUAAGCAUCUGGCACUGGGGUCCCCGAAGCAAGGAGACUGCUGCAGAGGACUUGACCAUUUUCACUGCAUUGCCAAACCAGCCUUGAUUAUAUUGAUCCAGGACACCCCCCACCCCUACUCUUCAUCUCGGUCACACCGUCAAGUGUACCUAUUGCAUUUACACAAGAUAGAAACUUUGCAAGAAGUAAGGACUUCCAUGAUGCAUUUUAGAGAAGGGUUAUGACUUGAAUGGACUCCUUAUCAACUGGGAUUUGUCAGUUCAGGCAAAGUGGGCAUCUGUCCAUUUCCAGCGUUGCUGUAAGUGGACUCUAACACUGACUUACAUUGCUUCAGAUCUCCUUUCCUCCUACCUGAGAACUUCUGGAGGUGCUUGGGGCACUGACUCAUUUUCUACUGAUUUCCUGAAAGGGAUCCAAGACAGCAAUCACAUUGAAAAAAAAAAUCUGCCUCCAUCUUCCUGUUGCAUUAGAGUCAAGUUUGGCACUGCAGCUUGUUCCCUGUGGUUUUCAAAUGCAAGCUUGCCAUUAAGUAACUACUGAAAACAGAAUACUUUGUCUCCGAAUGUGUUUCUCUGAAUUGUCAGUAUGUAGGCUAGUAGCUCAAGAACAGCCACAACAGGAGCCAACAAUGCGCAGGAGUAGAUCCCCACCCUGCUGUCUCCCCGCCACCCAUGAAGCCCCAGCCUCCCUGCUGGCGAGGCUGAGCCUCAGCCGGGAAGUCUGUCUCCAGUGUCCUCCUCCCCAAUAACAUGUCUGGGUGCCUGGGACCUCCCAAAGUGUCACCUCGCUGGGAGUCUGUUCUCAGCAGAACUCUGUGCCUCAAAGCUCCCUCGUCACCUCCCCCUGGUCAAAAUAAACCUCAUUCUUCCGGCCUGAUUCUCUAAGCUAAUGUGCAAAACGGCUGGGUGGCCUCCCCUGGACAACACGUUCACAUUUGCAUCAGGCGCCAGGGCAUCUUCUGGAUGCGGUGCCUUGAUCUGAGGGAGGUACACUGGUGACAAAACUCUCAGCAGCAGGUCUAGGAGUGGGGGUGCCUGGAGGGGUGAGGCUGGCAGACGGUCAGGAUUGCUCAUCGAUGCCACCCGAGGGCUCCUAACUUGCCUUCUUUUUGGAGGCAUGACUGGUGUACCAGCAGGAACAGUGCCCUUCUACUCUCUCGCCACCAUUCUUGGUCCCCAGGUCCCAAACGUGGGUCCCAGAAGAUCUCUGUAACUGAGGCUUGGGAUGUAUAGUGUGAUCGCAAGCCACCUAGGCCCGAGGAGGUCUCAAAAGUUAAUUGUAUCUCAAGUUAAGGGUGAUGUAAAGGAUUUAGUUUAUUCUUUCCCAAAGUGUCUCUAGAAAGGAUUCAUUUUCUAGGUCUUUUAGUCCAAAACAAACCUCCCCCCCGCCCACCAAGGGUGUCCCUGCAGGGAUACCCUUCAGCCAUGACUACCUGGGGAAACAACUAUUUCCCAGAGGAGAUGCAAUUCUUGUUAAGCUACAAUCACCUGAAGCCAAUUCAAUCUACCAUCCAGUCAAUUCAGUGAGUGACAAGACUCAAGUCAAUGGCUUAGUGUAGCCUGGACCAGACAACAACAUACCUUAAAAUCAACAACUAAGUAUGUCUAUCUCCAUAGAAACAUAUUAGAUAUGCAUCCUAAUGAUAUAAUGUGAACAUUUAAAAUAUGUGCAAAAAACUGUGGAAGGAGCCUCGGUGUCCAUCGAAAGAUGAAUGGAUAAAGA